rnacentral:tRNA from 1 species
GGGGAUUUGGCUCAGUGGUAGAGCACUUGCCUAGCAAGCGCAAGGCCCUGGGUUCAGUCCCCG